rnacentral:lncRNA from 1 species
CGAUCAUUCUUUUCUGAGUGAACUAGAAAGUUCUUUUUAUAGUUAUCGAAACUCGAGUUAUCUGAAUAAUGGAUUUAGGGGCGAAGAUCCCUACUAUAAUUCUUACAUGUCUUACAUGUAUGAUACUCAAUAUAGUUGGAAUAAUCACAUUAAUAGUUGCAUUGAUAAUUAUCUUCAGUCUCAAAUCUGUAUAGAUACUUCCAUUAUAAGUGGUAGUGAGAGUAACGGUGACAGUUACAUUUAUAGGGCCAUUUGUAGUGGUCAAAGUCUAAAUAGUAGUGAAAACGAGGGUUCCAGUAGACGAACUCGCACAAAGGACAGUGAUUUAACUAUAAGAGAAAGUUCUAAUGAUCUCGAGGUAACUCAAAAAUACAAGCAUUUGUGGGUUCAA